CUGUGUCUUACAUUUCGUUGGUAUUUUUUCAGAAUGAAAAAGUGAAUAUAAUUUCGCAUUGCAAGUGCAUACAAACACUACCUUUCAUCAAACAGUUUUACACAGCCAAGAUGCAAAAAGCUGAAAGCUACAAAACUUUCCUUGCAUCAAGAGUUUACAUGGUAUCUUACGUACCUGGAUGUGGCAGCCCGGCAAUGUACCACUGAUCCUUGUACAAAUCCUUGAAACUGUUCACAGGCUUCCACGCCUGGUUCUGAGGAUUGAAGACCAUGAUCAAGGGGACCUUCGCUUUCAUACUUGCCUGAUCCAUGGCCCCUUUAUGUUGAUUUCAUGAGAUGUAGGCUGUAGCCACUUCAGUGUUUGCAUUUUCCACAGGGCCAACUGAAGGAGCCGGUUCUUUAGUCUCCUCUAAAUUGCUGACAGCACAGCUAAAGGAACAGAAGCUUCACACUAGUAUUCCUGAGAAUAACAGCAGGAAAUCUAUUGAACAACACUGGCUCGGCAUUUGGCUGCCCCUGGAACAACUUAGUCUGAUCCUCUGUGAAGAACCCAAACAACUGACUAGCUGAAUUACAGAAGAAAUUACGAUGAGAACAAAUGACUAGCGGCAAAAAGAGCUGCAAGAGGACAAUUCUAGCAUGCAUACCCUACCAGUACUUGAAACUUGUUGGGGAAUUGACAUUCAUGGCAGAGAUGUGUACACUCACAUCAUUUUUGUUUCUUUCCAAAGUGAGGUGGUUGCUGCUAGGGAUCGUCGUCAUGUAAAAACUAUUAAGCAGGUUGGCGAUGUCCAAACCAUGAGCAUUGCUAACCUUAGCGGCAGGAUAAGAGUAGUCUGCUACAACACUAGUACGAAGGCUGCACAAUGUACUUGCCGAAUGUUUGAAUCAUUGGGCAUCAUGUGCUCUCACAUCAUUGUUGUUUUAAAAAAUGAUCGGUGUAAUGAAAUUCUUAGCCAAUAUGUGUUGCAUAGGUGGUCUAAAAUGGCUGCAUGACAUCUUUCUUGUGAUGCUAAUGGACAUGAGCUAGAGGGGUCAUCUACAUCUCUUUCACCUACCAUCAAGAAACUGUACUCAGAAACAUGCUCGAUGUUCAGCUCGGCAUUGCAUACAGCUAAACAUUGUGAGGACAAGAUGUAAUACUUUCACAAAAUUAUUUCUGAUACUCUUGCGCACUUGAGGCAGACGGUGCCACUUCACGAGCAGAAUAAAGUUCAAGAGUUUGAAUCCUUCAUUGGAACGACAUUGCCGAGCAUCAUCAAAAUUCAUCCACCGGAGGAUGCAAACACAAAGGGCAGUGGUAAGAGAUUGAAGAGGGGUUUGGAGGAGGUCAUGAACAAAAUUAAAGGAAAAGGGAUUGCAGCUAAGGGUUUUUCCUUCUUUGCAGAGGAAGCAGUGUCCAGAAAGGUCCAAGAUCUGUAGAUUGUUCUAUUAAUCAGCACACCCAGCCCAUGGGAGCGGAUAUUAACAUUUGGCGCUAAAUCAUGAAUGAGAAAUGCCUUUCGUUCAUGUGCUAUCCAAUGCUGGAGACUUCUGCUACAACUUAAACACAGAGUUGAAUAUGUUGGUGCAAUAUGUAUACCUGCUACCUUGGGCUAUAAAUUACAUCUGAGUUGCAACUCUAGUUAUGCCCUUCAUAGUAGAUUUUAUGUGUAUUGUCAUGAGUGCUGUUGAGAAAGCAUUCAUGAUAUUUUGUAUAAAAAGGUGUGUAAGAGCAUAAUAUUGUUGUACUGUUAGCUUUUAAAUGCCAAGAUAGAUUUGAAA